GUGCUUACUUCAGUAGCACAUGAUACUAAAAGUGGAAUGAUAGGAGAUUGGCGUGGCCCCUGUGCAAGGACGACAUGUAAAUCCAUGAAGCAUUCCAUAUCUUU